UACGUAGGGACCGAGCGUUGUCCGGAAUUAUUGGGCGUAAAGAGCUCGUAGGCGGUUCGUCGCGUCGGCUGUGAAAACCUGAGGCUCAACCUCAGGCCUGCAGUCGAUACGGGCGGACUUGAGUACUGCAGGGGAGACUGGAAUUCCUGGUGUAGCGGUGAAAUGCGCAGAUAUCAGGAGGAACACCGGUGGCGAAGGCGGGUCUCUGGGCAGUAACUGACGCUGAGGAGCGAAAGCGUGGGGAGCGAACAGG
rnacentral:rRNA from 1 species